rnacentral:rRNA from 1 species
UACGUAGGGGGCAAGCGUUGUCCGGAAUUAUUGGGCGUAAAGAGCGUGUAGGCGGUUCGAUUAGUCUGCUGUAAAAGUCGGAGGCUCAACCUUCGAAAGCCGGUAGAUACUGUCGAGCUAGAGUACGGAAGAGGCGAGUGGAAUUCCUGGUGUAGCGGUGAAAUGCGCAGAUAUCAGGAGGAACACCAAUUGCGAAGGCAGCUCGCUGGGACGUUACUGACGCUGAGACGCGAAAGCGUGGGGAGCAAACAGG